rnacentral:rRNA from 1 species
UGGGGAAUAUUGCACAAUGGGCGCAAGCCUGAUGCAGCCAUGCCGCGUGUGUGAAGAAGGCCUUCGGGUUGUAAAGCACUUUCAGCGAGGAGGAAGGUGGUGAACUUAAUACGUUCAUCAAUUGACGUUACUCGCAGAAGAAGCACCGGCUAACUCCGUGCCAGCAGCCGCGGUAAUACGGAGGGUGCAAGCGUUAAUCGGAAUUACUGGGCGUAAAGCGCACGCAGGCGGUUUGUUAAGUCAGAUGUGAAAUCCCCGGGCUCAACCUGGGAACUGCAUUUGAAACUGGCAAGCUAGAGUCUCGUAGAGGGGGGUAGAAUUCCAGGUGUAGCGGUGAAAUGCGUAGAGAUCUGGAGGAAUACCGGUGGCGAAGGCGGCCCCCUGGACGAAGACUGACGCUCAGGUGCGAAAGCGUGGGGAGCAAACAGGAUUAGAUAACCCUGGUAGUCCACGCUGUAAACGAUGUCGAUUUUGGAGGUUGUGCCCUUGAGGCGUGGCUUCCGGAGCUAACGCGUUAAAUCGACCGCCUGGGGAGUACGGCCGCAAGGUUAAAACU